rnacentral:rRNA from 1 species
UACGGAGGGUGCAAGCGUUAUCCGGAUUCACUGGGUUUAAAGGGUGCGUAGGAGGGCAGGUAAGUCAGUGGUGAAAUCCUGCAGCUCAACUGUAGAAUUGCCAUUGAUACUGGAUAGCUUGAGUACAGACGAGGUAGGCGGAAUUUAUGGUGUAGCGGUGAAAUGCAUAGAUACCAUAAAGAACCCCUAUUGCGAAGGCAGCUUACUAGGCUGUAACUGACGCUGAGGCACGAAAGCGUGGGGAUCAAACAGG